AGGUGCGAUCAUACCAGCAGUAAUGCACCGGAUCCCAUCAGAACUCCGCAGCUAAGCGUGCUUGGGCGAGAGUAGUACUAGGAUGGGUUACCUCCUGGCAAGUCCUCGUGUUGCACUUC
rnacentral:rRNA from 1 species